ensembl:snoRNA SNORD4A small nucleolar RNA, C/D box 4A
GGUGCAUGUGAUGACACUGUGCAGCGACCAAAGUCUGACAGGAAUGAUUGCUAUCGUCGUCUGAUGCACC